rnacentral:rRNA from 1 species
UACGUAGGGUGCAAGCGUUAAUCGGAAUUACUGGGCGUAAAGCGUGCGCAGGCGGUUUCGUAAGUCUGUCGUGAAAUCCCCGGGCUUAACCUGGGAAUGGCGAUGGAGACUGCGAGGCUAGAGUUUGGCAGAGGGGGGUAGAAUUCCACGUGCAGCAGUGAAAUGCGUAGAGAUGUGGAGGAAUACCGAUGGCGAAGGCAGCCCCCUGGGCCAAUACUGACGCUCAGGCACGAAAGCGUGGGGAGCAAACAGG